GGAGGAGUGGCAGAGCGGUUGAAUGCGGCGGUCUUGAAAACCGUUGUACCCUUACGGGUACCGUGGGUUCGAAUCCUACCUCCUCCGCCA
rnacentral:tRNA from 1 species